AUGGUUCAUCGGUUGCAGCAAAAAUCACCUGGUAGCAAAAAUUUGGGUGGGUGGGUGGUAGCAAAAAUUAAUGAUGGUUCCAGUAAAAAAAGUAGCUGGUUCCAGCAAAGCUGGAUCGCCGCCGAAGCCGUUGUAGCACGGCCGUCGCCGGUUCCAGCAUUUGUGUGGCUGGUUGCAGCUCCGCGAGCCUAUGAUUGUAGCUCUGCCGAGCCGAGGUUGCAUCAUCUUCUGUUGGAGGUUGCCCUCUCCUGCAAGCGGAGCGGGGCGCGCAUAUCUUCGUCUGUAGCAAGCCAUCUGCUGGGGAAGGCCGCGGCGAGUAGAUGCUGCCCUCGCCAGAGCUGCACGCGGCGUGCUACUGGGGCAGAGCGCGAGUGGCGCGUGUUUGCGACCAGCAGAUGCUGCUCUCGCCGGAGCUGCAAGCUGUGCGUGAUUUAUUUUGCCAUGGAUUUGUGUUAUUUGGAGGAAGCACAGAGAAAGAGGAAGAUAGAUUGUGUUUGGGUUGGAAAAAUGAGUGGAGGAGCAUCCCGUGGAUGA
rnacentral:rRNA from 1 species